rnacentral:rRNA from 1 species
GAUGAACGCUGGCGGCGUGCCUAAUACACGCAAGUCGAGCGAACAGACGAGGAGAUUGCUCCUCUGACGUUAGCGGCGGAAGGGUGAGUAACACGUGGCUAACCUAACUAUACAACUGGGAUAACUUCGGGAAACCGGAGCUAAUACCGGAUAACAUGUUGAACCGCAUGGUUCAACAGUGAAAGACGGUCUUGCUGUCCCUUAUCGAUGGAUCCGCGCCGCAUUAGCUAGUUGGUAAGGUAACGGCUUGCCAAGGCAACGUUGCGUAGCCGACCGGAGAUGGUGAUCGGCCACACGGCAAGUGAGACACGCUCCAGACUCCUACGGGAGGCAGCAGUAUGGAAUCUGCCGCAAUGGUCGAAAGCCUUACGGAGCAACGCCGCGUGAGUGAAGAAGGUCUUCGGAUCGUAAAACUCUGUUAGUAGUGAAGAACAAAUGUGUAAUUAACUAUGCACGUCUUGACGGUACCUAAUCAGAAAGCCGCGGCUAACUAGGUG